GCAAUCUUUGUAGGCCUCACAAGGCGCUUUCAUUUUUCACCGCGUGUAGAAAAAUAUUCAAAGGUGUAUUUCUUAUUUGCAUUUAGGACGAGACGAGCACUUUGUCGAAGUUCUAGAACUUCUUCGGCCUGCGCAGUCAUUCUGAAGAAAUCGUUUUGUCGGAUUAGUUAGCGGGGCACCGUGCGCAGUUUUCGUUAAGUCACAUUUGAGCGGUUGUCGUCCGGUGUUGACGACACAGAUCCCCGUCCCAGCGAACAAAGGAACAGUAAGGCCGAUGCAAGCUUGUUAGCUCUAUUUGGGGGAAACAUUAUUUAUUAAAUAAUUUAAAAUUAAACCCAUCCUUCUCAGCUUUUGUUAUAGUACUUGGACUUGACACGUCUUUGCUUAAAGAAAACAAAACAACAACAAAAAACAAUUGACCUGACUCAUUCAGUCGUGUUAGCAACGCCGGCUAAGGUUAGCCGCAAUUGUGGACAAGUAGCGAGCUAACUGCUAACUUUAGCACAGUAUUGAUUCAAGCAAGGGGAAGUUUUAUUUUCGGGGAAAAUGGCCGAAGUAUAUAUUCGAGUAGCAGAGGAGGAAAACGAAGAACCAAUGGAGAUCCCAUCCGAAGAUGACGGCACUGUUCUGCUUUCAACCGUGGCAGCUCAGUUUCCAGGGGCGUGCGGCCUGCGGUUCAGGAGCCCCGUGUCUCAAUGCAUGCGUGGAGUGCGUCUUGUGGAAGGGGUCCUGCACGCACCAGAAAACGGAUGGGGCAAUGUCGUGUACGUCGUGAACUAUCCAAAAGACAACAAAAGGAAAAUGGAUGAAAUAGAUGCCUCCUCUGCUGUGAAAAUGAAGAGAGGGGAUAUGAAGACAUCUGACCUGAUAGUACUGGGUCUACCCUGGAAAACAACUGAGCAGGAUCUGAAAGACUACUUCAGUACAUUUGGAGAAGUCAUCAUGGUUCAGGUAAAACGAGACGCUAAGACUGGAAACUCUAAAGGAUUUGGCUUUGUGAGGUUCACGGAGUACGAGGCUCAAGAGAAGGUGAUCUCCCAGCGCCAUAUGAUUGAUGGGAGAUGGUGCGACUGCAAGCUCCCUAACUCGAAGGUGAAUAUGCAAGGUCCAGAUGAGCCACUGAGGAGCCGCAAAGUUUUUGUAGGCCGAUGCACAGAAGACAUGACCACAGAUGACCUCCGGCAGUUCUUUAUGCAGUAUGGAGAGGUCACAGAUGUCUUCAUUCCCAAGCCAUUCCGUGCUUUUGCCUUUGUCACCUUUGCAGAUGAUCAGGUUGCCCAGUCUCUCUGUGGAGAGGACCUAAUUAUCAAAGGUGUCAGCGUUCACAUCUCGAAUGCUGAGCCCAAACACGGCAAUAGGCAGUUUGACCGUACAGCACGGUUUGGGAAUGGUUUUGGAGCGCAAGCAUUUGGUAGCAGCCGUAGUGGGUUAGGGAGCAGCACUAACAGUAGUCUGGCUAAUUUUGGUUCUUUCAGUCUGAACCCUGCUAUGAUGGCUGCUGCUCAGGCUGCUCUGCAGAGUAGUUGGGGGAUGAUGGGUAUGCUGGCCAGCCAGCAGCAGACAUCCACCUCAGGCAGCACCUCCAGUGGAACAAGCUCUAGUAGGGACCAGAGUCAGUCUUUCAGUACAGGCAACAGCAACUACGGCACCAGCUCAGCCAGUCUUGGCUGGGGAACAGGGUCAAACUCUACAACCAGUGGUAGUGGGUUUAGCUCAGGUUUUGGGUCCAGUAUGGAGUCAAAGUCUUCUGGGUGGGGUAUGUAAGUUAAGUGUUUGUAUGGUAAGUAUUGUGAGAAAGAUGCGUCUUUUCAAAAUUUAUUUCUGGUGUUAAUGCAUAUCCGAAAACUUAACACUUUUGUGGAAGAUGUUUUGUACAUUUGGAAAAAAUGCUAAAGAUUUAAUUUAGAAAGUGUUGCAGUGAAUUGUUUACCAGGAUGUCCGACUAAAGUGCUAUUUUUGAUGUCUCGUUUGUUUGUAUCCAUUUCAACUGGAUUCUCUAAUGCAUGUAUUGUGAAAUGUGAUAUAACCAUUUUGAAAAUGCAUGAAUGUUUGUGAUUCACCAUUAUCUGGCUUUGUCAUCGACUUAAAAGGCAAUCUUGCAUUGGGAAGAAUCUGGUUGAAACCUAAAUGUUUUAAGUGCAACUUUAUUUGCAGUCACGUUCUGUGGAAAAGCCUUCAUUGAAAUCUCUUCUGCAGUUCACCUCUCUUCCAUUUUCCUGUGAGGAAGCUCUUUGGCAGCAUUCUUGGGGUGAUAUCGGUAUCAUUCUCCCUCUUCCCACCUGUAAAUGCUAUGCCAUCAAAGAACGGCUUCACUCCGCAUGUUCUAAGAGACGGGACCUUGGGCACUGCUGGUCGAGGUCUCCGUUUGAACCCUGACUGAAGUCUGUUCUGAAGGAUGAAGACGGAAGUUCCAACACUUUCAGUGUGUGGCCUUCUCAGACAUGACAUGGGGUAGUACCUGUCUUUUUGCUGCUUUUAAUGGCUUGUCAGAGUGAAUUAUCUUUUAUAUUGUUUACAGCUACAUUUUAGGUUACAGGCACGUUCUUGAGGGGUGUCUUUGACUUUAUUUUAAUCUUAAAUAGCUUUGCUCAGCAAUGUGGCAUCACCUGUCCGAACAAUACUUCUCCCUAAUUUGGCUAAAGUAAUAAUGACACAUUGCUGAGCCUUGGGAUUGGUGAUGGUGAUCUUUAGAUGCCCUUGUACGUUACUGGUAGUUUGCCUGACAGUCUUAACAGUCUCAAGGUUGCCCCAAGCGCAAACAUUGACAUGACAUUCUGAUAAUUCUUACACUUUAAAAGAGAAACGUGCUAUCUAGAUAACUUAGCAGACCACUAAAAUACAAGAUCAAGAAGUCAUCUUUAGAGUUUUUGUAAUAAGUGUCACUUUGGCAAUGCUUUAAAAAAAACUUUAAUGUUUACCAGUUCAGACAUGGUCAUAUCAACGCCAAAUGCACUUUAAUCUGACGUUGCAGUAGCAGGUCCCUGAACAGGUAAAGAAUAUUUAGUCUCAAUGUGCACAAAGUGUACGUAGAACUGCUGUAAUACAACAAAAUCUCUUGCUGUAGACAGCUGAAACUCACAAUAACCAUAACCAUACUUUUGGUGACACUUAAUUUACUGUCAUGUAUUGAUCAGCCUUCAUGUUUAUUUGAAUGUUGGGCACAAGUGAGACACUGCAGGCCCGCCUGUGUCUUGUCCUUAUUCUUUGCUUUCCUCAGUGUCUCUGCUCUUCCUCUUCCCAGUAUUCUUCUUUUUCAAAUCCCUCUGCUCUUGGUUCAAUUCUUCACUUUUAUUUUGUAUGUAGAUGGACUGAAAUGAAUAAAAGCAAAUUAAACAUUCA